GGGCUUGUGGUUUAGUGGUAUAAUUCCUCUUUAGCACCGCAUCUCGAAAGAGGCGUGAGGACUAGAGGCGGUCCCUGGUUCGAUUCCUGGCAGGUCCA
rnacentral:tRNA from 1 species